GAUGCAUCACGUUCUCCACCUGACAUAAUUUCCUGCACAUGCUAGAGUUUACGUGCCUCUGUGGCCCUACUCAUGCUGCUGCCUCUGUCUGGAAUGCUGGUCCCUCUUUCUCCAUCAGGCGGACUUCUACUGACCGUUUAAGAUCAAAUGUACCAUCUCCGCUAGGAAGCCGCCUCCAGUUCAGGCCCAGCCCCAGCCCCUCACGGCCGGCCCCUUGUCUGUGCCCCCGUGACACUCUGAACGUUCCUCUAUUACAGGACUUCCCAUUCGAUGUCGCGGUGAUCUGCUGCUCUGUCUGUCUCCCGGUAAACUGUGAACUCCUGCAAGGCGGGGUCCAUGGCUGUUCUCCUAUAUGCCACGGGGGUGGGGGGGUGGGGCACGGAGCUGGAUGUUUGGCAAGCAGUAGGUGGCACCUCCUGUGUACCUGCCACAUGUUGUCUAAUCCUCACCACAACCCUAGGAAGCGGGUACUAGUGUCACCAUCUUAUGGAUGAGAAAACAGGCACCGCAACGUAAUUACAAGGCUAGUAUGUGGCAUAGCCAGAUUGGGCCCAUGUUUUUAACCAUGAUAUAAUGAUGCCUAUACUACAUGAAUAAAUGCAAGAACUAGAAAUCAAGUGCCCAUUCCUAAAGCAAAGUUCCUCCAGGUUCUAACCUCUGAAAUCCCAAGGACAGCAGGCACAAUGGGAGUCGGGGCCGAGGAGGGCACCCUCCAAAGUCAACGCAAGACUUUCAGCCGCAGGACGGUGUGCCCGAUGGUAUGGGGCGGCUGGAACAAAGGAGCCCUGCCCUCCCGUGACCCUUACACGUUGGCAUCUCCCCAUCCACAGACACCAGAAGAUCUAUUCAAAGUUUCCCAUAUUCACCCCCAGCACCACCCUGCAUUCUUCCCAUUACAAUGAAACCUGAGAUUCUGAGGUUUCUCCAUCAUGAGCUAGCUCCAAACACAACGCACAUGGAAAGAGGAAAGAUUUACUUUACCACCAACUCUCCAUGCCAGCGGUCAGUGGUUUCAGCCUGUGCUCUCCAGAAUUCUUUCUUGGAACUGGGCUGAAAGUUCUAUUUGGUCAUGAAAGCUGGUCUGGGGCCCCUGCAACACUCAACUCGUGGUGGCUACACGUCCUCCAGGAUGGGGCUGGGCCUGGCCACCACUGUUGCCUGAUAUUCCCGGAUACCUGACAUGGAAGGAUGGCCGGAAAAGCUUCCCCCAGGGCCUGGAUUCCUACUGUCUUCCCCAAACCUGCUCAGAGCUGCUCUCAGGAGAGAACAGUUGGACCUGGAAGCUUCAUGACCGUCAAAUGAAAUAACAGAUGUGAAGGGCUGCAGAGCAUGAUGGAAAACCACGCAAAUACAACGCAAUGUUUUCAUUCUUUAAAAGUAUUAGGACUAAUGCGCUGUACCACGAAUAUGGAACAUUCUCCAAGGAAUUAAAAGUCUGUGCAAUUGGUUCAUUCAAUAAAAAGUAUCUUCUAUGAA